UUCACAUUAAUUUAGAAACAAUACUAAUGUUUUAACUCAGGAAGAGUUCAGAAAUCAAUAUUUGGUUGAAUAAUAAGGAGGUUUUCAUUGGGGUUCAAUGCAGUGCGCUGCUCUAUAGAGAGUUUUAAUUUCAAGUCCAAAUGAACUUUCAUUAUUAAACAGAAAAGUAAAUAAUAUUUUUAGGAAAUGUUUAUAAUGUAAACAUUCCAAACUGUGUCUUGAAGAAUCUGCCUUUCCUCUAAGAUGCUCGAGGUUUUUCAUGAAUCCAAAUUUGUCCCCGAUGCCACAAAGGCUGUUAAAUAACCCCACACUUAAAAUAAUUACAGCUAAUUUCAGCAUUUUAUAAUUUUUUGUGAUAAUAAUAAGGUGCAAACAAAAUCAUGAUAAUUGUAUUGUACUCAAAUCUCUAGAAAAGUUGUAAAAGCUACAGAAAAAUGUCUAGAAAUCUGAGUAUGGAAGCAAUGUGUCGGAGCCCGGUACUGAAGGAAUUACCCACGUCUGAACUCCAAGGAUUUGUUUGGUUUUUGUAUAUUUUAAUCCAAGCUGCCCAUCCGUCUUUUGUUUUUUUCUCCAUCCGCCUGUCAUGGCUUCAUCACAUCCUCAGGCUGCAAAGAUUUUUCCAUCUUUACAUAAAAUUACCUUUUAGGAGUCCAACUAUCUUUCUGGACAACUUAGAGGCACUACAGCAGUGAAGUUCACACCGAAUCACACAAAGAUGACAGCUUGUCUUUUUUUUUUUUUGUUUUCCAAAAUAUGCUGUAGUUUAAGAAAAGCACCAUUUGAGCUUCUCUAAAUUGUUUAAUGUCAUCAGUAGGAACUCAAGCAUCCAUAUCAGACAAUAGCAUCAGUGAUAGUACAACAAACUCUGGUGUUUCCAACAACAAAACUGAAUAGUGGGUGGAAGUUGCGUACCCUAAAGGGGUGAAGAACAUUACAUGGUGGUGAUUUAUCUCUUAGUAAAACCCCGUACCCAAACACCUAGUCGUUUAGAAUGAAGAUAAGUAUCUUUGGGAGUGGAAGGGCUCUCCUGUAAAGCUGGAUGUCUGGAGGGGAUGCGGAUGUGGCGGGCAGGGAAGCUUUAGCUGGUUGGGAUUGGGUGGGAGAGAGCGCAGGCUUUGACCAGAGGGUUUCAGAUGUCAUAGCAGAUUCUUUCAGGGCAAAUUACAGGGUUUAACCUCUCUUGUCCCAGAGAAUGGCAGCGUUCUGAUUUAACUUCCUUGACAGACACUCAAGCAACCUGCUACUCAACACCAUUGUCGGGGGAGGGGAGGUGGGCGAGUGGGGCACACUUGACUUGGAAGAUACUUCACCUCCUUUCAGGCGUUCGAGGGCCCUUCAGGACUCUGCUCGCUGUGGUCCGUUGGUGGCCUUUCUACUUCAUUCUGCGACUGCACUUGCCUCCGGACUUGUCCGACACGGCGAGUCGUGUCAGCAGGGGGGAGCCUGUAGGAGUGGCUUCUGCCUGUGGCUCCGGCGCUUCCGGCACCAAAAACCUGGAUUUCUGACAGGAAACCAAAGACUGAAUCACCGUGGCCGUUGCCCUCUUUGCUGCGGCAACCGGGGUGUUGCCUCGUUCAGGUGAUGUCAGCUGCUAUGAAGCAGCCGGCCGUUACCACCUGCCAACCAGGCCAGCCAGAGGUGAAGACCUAAACUUCCACAACACCUCUGCUCAUAGCAAACACAUUUAUUGUUUGCAUUAAAUGUUUUAUUUUGCGCAGAUAUAUUAAGUUGUCAUGAUUUUGUCCACACAUUAAAUAAAAUCUCAUAAAAAGUUGCAUUACAAGACAAGUUUGUUUCUUUUCACUUUUGUUACCCACAAAAAGGCUCGCCUCCGCCGCCGGUGUAAUCAUGAAAUAUUUUACAGCCUUUACAGAUUCUCCAUCCUGGGAAACGUUGAAUAAUUUAUCUUUGUUCUUGGCUUUCUUUACAAACAAGAGGCAUCUGCUGUGCUGCUCCACCAUUUAAAUCAGUCCGCAAAUACAAUUUAUGUUCCGGGACAGAGCAAUGUGCUCUUGUGAAAUUAAUUAAAGAAGAGAACAACUGUACGAAACCCAACACGGUCUCUCUGUUGGAUCUUGGUUCAACUCUGAGGAGCGUCCUGCAUGGCAGCGCUCCGGUCUGCCUGACUGGUUUCAGGUUUAUACAGAAAAGCUCCAGUCUAAUCCACAGAGACGUUGCUGGUGAGCGGCGUCUACAUCCACAGAGCUGAAACAAUAGGAAUGUGGGCAGAGGGGGCGCAGGCUUCACACCUCAUGUGCUGUGUUUGAUGGAUGAGCUGCUGCUUUAAAGAUCAAAUUAGGUCAAACGGUCACAUGCAAAAUUUAAAAAAUGAAAAUUAAAGUACCAUGAUAAAUGAAAUGUUUUUUUUUUCUUUUGUUGGAAGUUGAUACCACUUUGAAUCUUUUUGCCUGUUGAAACCUGGUGUUGUGGGACACACAGGUCACUUUUAUGGAACUGCUGCUUAAUAUUUCGGUGAUGGCGUCUGAAGGACUGGGAUGGACUGUCCAGAACCUACCCCACCUCUCGCCUGUUGAACCCUGGGGACCCCGCCAGGUGUAAGCGUGUAAGAUAAUGAAUGGAUGGAUGAACAUAUAAUGGAAACACAUUAAAAGUUAAUUCCAGGAGAAGAGAUUAAUUUUGUAAUGUUUUUAUGUUUGCUUCUUUUUGGUCCAGUUUGACCUGAAAACAUUCGGUGCUGGGUCGCUGUUCUUUGAUGUUCAGAUUAUCAACAAACAUCAUCACCCACGAAUAG